rnacentral:rRNA from 1 species
GUCUAUGGCCAUGCUACCCUGAAUAAGCCCGAUCCCAUCUGAUCUCGGAAGCUCAGCAGGGUCGGGCCUGGUUAGUACUUGGAUGGGAGACCACCUAGGAAGACCAGGUGCUGUAGGCG